rnacentral:rRNA from 1 species
GAUGAACGCUGGCGGCGUGCUUAACACAUGCAAGUCGAACGGAAAGGCCCAAGCUUGCUUGGGUACUCGAGUGGCGAACGGGUGAGUAACACGUGGGUGAUCUGCCCUGCACUUCGGGAUAAGCCUGGGAAACUGGGUCUAAUACCGGAUAGGACGAUGGUUUGGAUGCCAUUGUGGAAAGUUUUUUCGGUGUGGGAUGAGCUCGCGGCCUAUCAGCUUGUUGGUGGGGUAAUGGCCUACCAAGGCGUCGACGGGUAGCCGGCCUGAGAGGGUGUACGGCCACAUUGGGACUGAGAUACAGCCCAGACUCCUACGGGAGGCAGCAGUGGGGAAUAUUGCACAAUGGGCGCAAGCCUGAUGCAGCGACGCCGCGUGGGGGAUGACGGCCUUCGGGUUGUAAACUCCUUUCGCUAGGGACGAAGCGUUUUUGUGACGGUACCUGGAGAAGAAGCACCGGCUAACUACGUG